UACGUAGGGGCAAGCGUUGUCCGGAAUCAUUGGGCGUAAAGAGCGCGUAGGCGGCCCAGUAAGUCCGCUCUGAAAGUCAGGGGCUCAACCCCUGAAUGCGGGUGGAUACUGCUGGGCUAGAGUCCGGAAGAGGCGAGUGGAAUUCCUGGUGUAGCGGUGAAAUGCGCAGAUAGUCAGGAGGAACACCGAUGGCGAAGGCAGCUCGCUGGGACGGUACUGACACUGAGACGCGAAAGCGUGGGGAGCGAACAGG
rnacentral:rRNA from 1 species